AUGGGGAAUAUGAAAAAUUUUGUAAUUUUUUUUAACUAAACAAGGCCCUAAGAUCUGUUUUUUUUUGGGAGGGGAGAGGGGGUCAGUUUUAGGUCUGUAUGUAUUUGAAGAACAUGAGAGUUUUCGGUUAAAUAGAUAGAUAGAUAGAUAGAUUGAACCACUGGUCUGCAAUUCAAAUUAGUAAUGUGAAGUAGUAGUGGAGAAAGUGAAAACACAAAAAUCUCAAUGCA
rnacentral:lncRNA from 1 species